UGGCCUUGACAUAGAAAGAAUUUAGCAGAGAUGUAAAAGUGCUAGUUUACUAGAGCUUUCAUACAGGUGCUGCACGGCUGUCGUCAGCUCGUGUCGUGAGAUGUUAGGUUAAGUCCUGCAACGAGCGCAACCCUCGUGUUUAGUUACUAAAAGAUUAUGCUGAGGACUCUAGACAUACUGCCUGGGCAACCAGGAGGAAGGUGAGGACGACGUCAAGUCAUCAUGGCCCUUAUGGCCAGGGCUACACACGUGCUACAAUGGGGUAUACAAAGAGCCGCAAUACCGCGAGGUGGAGCAAAUCUCAUAAAAUAUCUCCCAGUUCGGAUUACACUCUGCAACUCGAGUGUAUGAAGUUGGAAUCGCUAGUAAUCGUAGAUCAGCAAUGCUACGGUGAAUACGUUCCCGGGUCU
rnacentral:rRNA from 1 species